rnacentral:rRNA from 1 species
AUUGAACGCUAGCGGCAGGCCUAACACAUGCAAGUCGAGCGAGCGGCGGACGGGUGAGUAAUGUAUGGGGACUGCCCGAUAGAGGGGGAUAACUACUGGAAACGGUAGCUAAUACCGCAUACUAUCGGAUAACCCAUAUGGGAUUAGCUAGUCGGUGAGGUAAUGGCUCACCUAGGCGACGAUCCCUAACUGGUCUGAGAGGAUGAUCAGCAACACGGAGACUGAGACACGGGCCAGAAUGCUACGGGAGCAGCAGUGGGGAAUAUUGCACAAUGGGCGGAAGCCUGGUGCAGCCAUGCCGCGUGUAUGAAGAAGGCCCUAGGGGUGUAAAGUACUUUCAGUCGGGAGGCGUUACCGACAGAAGAAGCACCGGCUAACACCGUGCCAGCAGCCGCGGGAAGUC